AUUGAACGCUGGCGGCAGGCCUAACACAUGCAAGUCGAACGGUAACAGGAAACAGCUUGCUGUUUCGCUGACGAGUGGCGGACGGGUGAGUAAUGUCUGGGAAACUGCCUGAUGGAGGGGGAUAACUACUGGAAACGGUAGCUAAUACCGCAUAACGUCGCAAGACCAAAGAGGGGGACCUUCGGGCCUCUUGCCAUCGGAUGUGCCCAGAUGGGAUUAGCUAGUAGGUGGGGUAACGGCUCACCUAGGCGACGAUCCCUAGCUGGUCUGAGAGGAUGACCAGCCGCACUGGAACUGAGACACGGUCCAGACUCCUACGGGAGGCAGCAGUGGGGAAUAUUGCACAAUGGGCGCAAGCCUGAUGCAGCCAUGUCGCGUGUAUGAAGAAGGCCUUCGGGUUGUAAAGUACCUUCAGCGGGGAGGAAGGGAGUAAAGUUAAUACCUUUGCUCAUUGACGUUACCCGCAGAAGAAGCACCGGCUAACUCCGUGCCAGCCGCCGCGGUAA
rnacentral:rRNA from 1 species